rnacentral:misc_RNA from 1 species
GUAGGUGAACCUGCGGAAGGAUCAUUACCAGAAAGGAACCAGUUUCCUUGGGGCUCGCCCCCAUCUCUUCACCCCGUGUCAACUUACCAUUUGUUGCUUUGGCGGGUUGCGGGCGUCCCCUCCCUCCGGCGGCGCCCCCCGCCAGAAGCCCCGUUAAAUCCGUUUUUCAGCGUCGUCCGAGUGAUAAACCAAUCGUUAAAAACUUUCAACAACGGAUCUCUUGGUUCUGGCAUCGAUGAAGAACGCAGCA